CUCCCCACGGUGCUGCGCGGGGUGCCGCUGCUCCCUCUCCAUUUCCAACCACUCUUCUCGACUGGUCACCGUGAGCCAGCAGAUCGCAGUCUUCUCUCCCCUUGCCUCAGGUGUGUUCAGGAGGUGUUUGCAUCACACCGGGUCUUCCAGCAGCACGAUGCGUUGUGGAGCUGCGAGCGAAGCCUGUGUUGUUUGCUCUGCAGCACGGAGGCGAAGGGGCCGUGUCUGUACCGGGAUCCACCUCAACACCUUCCCCUGGGUGACUUCUGGCUUAACUCGCCUACAACCAAAGGAGACUUGAAUUAACUGGAUUAUGUUGGUGUGCGUGUGUGUAUGUGUGCGCGUGUGUCCUUCCAACCCAAUCGUAGUUCUCACACUGGAACACAGUGGGCUCUAGCAGCUGGCUGGCUUGCUUUUUAACUCUUCCUUUUCCAGUUGAGGAGCUGUUUUGUCACCUGGUGGGUGCCCAGACUAGGCCUGCUGUGCAAACAGCUUUCUCAAGCAUUAAGGCGGCAGAGUGCUGGGCCGUGUACAGGAGCGUCCCGGUGCACUCUGAAGCAGUGUGUGGUGGGCAGCGCCUCGGGCACGGCGCGGCUCGGCCGCCUGCUGAGGGAGCCUUGCUAACCCUGUGUGCCCUCCUGCUCUCAACACCUGACCUCCGGUAUGCCUGAGCUUUGCUGGGCAGGCAGCACCGCUGCAGCUCUCUGUGCCCACCGCCGCUCCCACGGAUCCUUCUCGGUGGGGCAGAUCUGCAGGGCGCUCAGGAGGGGGGGUUCUGCUCUGGGCUGACCCUUUCCCGUUGACGUGGAAGCAGGUCCUUGGUCACUCUUGGUGUGCGGGUGCUUGCUGCUCCCAGAGCACGCGGUCGCAAGCUUCGCAGUUGUCUUUGAGGGGAGGCAGACACUUGUACUGAGACAAAUCCCGAUCCAUUCUCCUUUCCUGGUGUGUGCACCCCACGGCAGCGUCCUGUUGCCAAGGCCAGGCGUGCCGGGCAGGACGGGACGUUAGCAGUGAGUGGUGCAUCUCUUCUUUAGUCCGAAUCAUUUCAGAUCCUUUAUAGAAUAGCUAGCGACUUCACAAAGCUUUAUGGCUUAUGGAAACUUAAAUGUUUAAUGAUGUUUUUUUCCGGGAAGACUGGCAGGUCCAUUCCUGCUUGCUGCUGAAACGGGAAAUGCAAGCAGCUCGUGUUUCUGCACGACUCCUGCACAAAGGGAAUCAGGACAACUCCUCAGAGCCAUUGAGAGAGAAGAUAAUCUAAGGGCAUUUUAACUUUUCUAAACGAAAUAAAAAGUGGUCAUGAGGAUAAGUAUAUUAAGUAUUUAUCAUGUGUGAGAAGGAAAAUAAAUCUUGAAUUCUCAUUUAUAGGCCUUCCCAUGAGCUGGACGUAGUCAUGUAGAUUGUGUAAGUAGGGUUACCUCCGUGCCAGCCGCCCCGCCAGCUCCAGCUGUAACCAUGCAGGUAUCUGCACUGCUCUGUCCGACUCCGCUUUGCUUUGUCACGUGUUAACUAGUUAUUUGUUUCAUGAAAAAUAAACUGUGAAUAUUUUUGGUGCAGGCUUUUUUAAAUCUGUAAGACAGAGGAGUUCUCGAUGAGUUCUCGAUGAAUUCACUUCUGUGAGUCAUGUGCUCCGAUGGUAGGGUGAGGUCCACCGCAGCACAGCCUUUCCCGCAGCGAGCAGUUGUCUUCGCGCUUGUCUUCAGCAAUGAACGCAGACCGAACUGUUGCAUGGCAUUUCAAAACCACGGCCUUACUCCUUGCAGCAGGCUGUGCCCUGCCUCUCUUCUUCUCUCCCUUAAUGCCUUUUCCGUGAAGAUCCAAGCUCCCACCUUGCUCCCUUCCAGCUACAUCGGAACGUUGGCUUCAGUGAGCUGCCCUUCCCUCCCGGCCCAGAUGGGUGAUGCCAUCAGAUCAGGAGAGCUUCUCAGACAUCCACAGGGCUCUGUGUGUUCGUGCUUUUGGGAGUGACUGUUCUGAGUCACCCCAUAAAAUGUCCCGACCGAGUGUGGGGAAAUGUCCCCCGCUGCUCCUGGCCUGCCCUCACCUGGAGGUGGUAGGAGGAGGUGGUUGGUAGGAGGAGGUGCCUCUCUCUGGUGGUGGCAGCUGUGGUGGCAGCUGGUAGCACAGCUUUGGAGGCGUGUGCUGAAGCAGCCGGGCUCAUUUCCUGCAGCUCUUGGCUGCCUUGCAGGGUUUAGCCAGUUCAAAUCAUGGGUUUGGUUAACGUAGAGAAGUGCAACAGAUAACACGUAGCCCUGGUAGGCUGCUCGUGCAGGAGGAAUGGCUGAAAGGCUGCUCCAGCCUCCCAUGGUGCUGCAGGUGGAGGUUGGCCAGCUUUGCUGCAGCGUGACGGCUCCUGUGCUGCAACAACAGCACCUUUUUUACUGAGAGAUCUGAUCAGGGGGUGAGGCCGGGGCAGCUGCUGCUUCUGUGUUCCAGGAUGCUCACAGAGCUCCCGUGGCAGUGCGCUUGUAGGUUUGGCCUCGCUUCCCAUUGCACAGGGGGCUGGAAUCUUCGGCAGCCAGGCAUGUGCUUUGCCUGUGUGCUUGCUGGUGGGCCGGGCUGCCCCUGCUCCAAGCAGUGCGUUGGGUUAGCUGCUGCGGCCGUAGUCGCUCAGCAUGGCCCCAUUCGGUGCCCCACUGUGUGCGCCUUGGCUGGUGGAGGAGCUCGUGUGGGCAGGAUCCGCCUGCUGCGAGGUGCUGGGGGCUGUGACCAACCUCCUGCUGGACUCAGCCCCUGAGCUCCAGGUCGUGGGGCUGUGCUCGGCCGGGGCUCUGCUGAAGCUGGUGGGAAAGUGGUGCCGUAAGGGGUCACCCCACGCCAUCCUCCGGUGCCCGUAGCUCACGUAGCUUUCCUUAUUGCUGCUCUCAGCUUAAACCUUUUCCUCUUUACAAAAAAAAAAAAAAAAAACAAAACAAAAGCAGAAUGACUUCCAUGCACAAACCAUCCAGCUCAUACUGUGGGUGCAUGCAUCGCAACGCGGCGUUAACCCCCCCAGGCACGGGCACGGCUUAACAGGUGUGCCCAUUGUAUGUGGGAGAUGAGACGUGUGAUUAAAGCUUCGGAACAGUCCUGUACGGAGGCGAGGAGAUGCGGGUUGGGGUACCAGCACAGCUGCAGCCGUGUUUCAUGGGGGAAAAGAAUAAAAAAGCAGCCCUAAAUGUAAUGCCUCCUCAGCUGCUUUAACCCAAACGCGCCGUGGUGUGCACUGCUCUGCACUGCUGGUGCCGGGCUGCUGUCACAGCAUUACAGUGGGGCGGAGGUGUCGGUGUGAGCAACCUCAGACCUUCAACGCUUUGUUUAGUUUUAAUUUCAGCCUUACCGUCUGGUUUUGCUUGGUGUUGGGAAUAACCGUGAUUGUAAGCUGCUUGUAACGUGCUUUGCCCUGAAUUACCGCCCAGUCUUUCCAGCCUUUGCCAGCGAGCGAAUGUUGAAGCAAAGUGGCAAAACGUGCAGCUGCUCUGAAAGGAAGCGAUGGAGGCGGCCGCCCGCGCCGUGGUUUGGCCGCCCGGGCUCUGUGCUGAUCACUCCUGCAGCAGUGAUGUGGUGGGGGCUGCCGGGGGCGGUGGGUUUGGGGACGCCCCUCGGGCAGCACGUGGGAGGAAUUCCUCCAGCAGCGAUCCCAUCCGAGUCGAGGGCGGCGGGACGGCGCGCAGCCGGGCUGGGGGAGUAGCGGUGAUGGACAGUCCCUACAGCACUGAAUCUACCUCCUAGGGAAAUCUGAGAAAUGGGUGUUGCUAUGUCCUAUUUCAAGGUAAAGUUUUAACCGGUUUGCCCUUGGUUAAGCUCUUGGGCUAUCGUGGUGCUAUUGUAAAUCGUUCGGCAGCUUAGCACAGUAGGGCUGAACUCACGGCUCCCAGCCCGUGGGCCGGAGGGCUGUCGCUGGGGCUGGGCUUCGGUGUGCGCGACCAAAACAGGGCAAGGCACGUCUCCUGUGCCGGGAGAGACCACGUUCCUCCCAUCUGUGGUGGCUCUGAGCCUCGCAGCAGCGCGCCCCGUGAGCGCAGGGGGCGAGCGGAGCCACGGGAAGCAGCCAGGCAUCCGCUAACUGCAUGUUCUGUGUGUCCGUUUGGUACUGAGCUGGUUUCAGUUUUUGUUUUUCUGAUGUUUCCGAGUUGUUGACUUCAAGGAAAUGGGUUUUGUGGUUUUUGGGUUUUUUUUUUUCUGUUUUUUGUUUUGUUUUGUUUUGUUUUGUUUUGAAGACACUGGGAACUUGUGAGAAGGGGAAGCAGCAGCAGCACUGGGGAGCUCAAGGGGAAGCUGGGCUGGAGCUGGGGGUGGCUCUGGCCGGUCAGGGGGAUGAGAGUGGCUGUGUCAGAUACUGUGCCUGGUUCCGAGCAUCCUCUGUCAUCCAGUGGUGCUCUGGGCUGGGGUCCCGGGGAGUGUGGCCCCAUCCCAGCUCCGAGGGGACGCCCCUGGGCAUGCGGAACCAAGGGAGGGGGUGCCCUUGCUACCUAUCCCCCUCCCUUGCUGCCAGGGAGGGUACGAGGGGACGCGGUGUGCUCAAGGCCGGGCUGUGCUGCCUGUGGGGCGCUGACGGAUGGAGGUCUGUGGCCCUCAGGCCCUGCCGAAGGGAGCAGUGGCUGCAGUGGCGGUGCCCAUCCGGGGGGCUUUGGGGUCGCGUGGUCACGCCGAGCUGUCCGGGUCUCACGUGUCAGUUCUAAGCGGGAGUGCCAGAGCGGGUGAGAGAAACCUACAUAUUUCCAGCAUGUAUAUUAUUUUUAGAAGAGGGAGAGGGGAGAGUCUUGGACCAUUGAUUACUUUCAUUUUGCUCCCCUUAGACUGUUGGCUGUGUAUGUGAAACUUAUAAUGAAAAGAGGGUUGCCCUGCCCAGGUGCUCCCAGAACAUGUACUGUAAUUCUUUGUAUAUAGAAGAAAAAUUACUGUAAAGUAAAGUUUAACUUUACUCUC
ensembl:lncRNA